rnacentral:rRNA from 1 species
GACGAACGCUGGCGGCGUGCUUAACACAUGCAAGUCGAACGGAAAGGCCCUGCUUGCAGGGUACUCGAGUGGCGAACGGGUGAGUAACACGUGGGUGAUCUGCCCUGCACUUCGGGAUAAGCCUGGGCAACUGGGUCUAAUACCGGAUAGGAGCCAUUUUUAGUGUGAUGGUUGGAAAGUUUUUUCGGUGUAGGAUGAGCUCGCGGCCUAUCAGCUUGUUGGUGGGGUAAUGGCCUACCAAGGCGGCGACGGGUAGCCGGCCUGAGAGGGUGGACGGCCACAUUGGCACUGUGAUACGGCCCAGACCCCCACGGGAGGCAGCAGUGGGGAAGAUUGCACAAGGGGCGGCCGGCUGGUGCAGCGAAGCCGCGAGCGGGUUGACGGCCUUCGGGUUGUAAACUCCUUUCGCUAGGAACGAAGCUUAUUGUGACGGUACCUAGAUAAGAAGCCCCGGCUAACUACGUU